rnacentral:rRNA from 1 species
GAUGAACGCUGGCGGCGUGCCUAAUACAUGCAAGUCGAGCGAACGGACGAGAAGCUUGCUUCUCUGAUGUUAGCGGCGGACGGGUGAGUAACACGUGGAUAACCUACCUAUAAGACUGGGAUAACUUCGGGAAACCGGAGCUAAUACCGGAUGAUAUUUUGAACCGCAUGGUUCUAAAGUGAAAGACGGUCUUGCUGUCACUUAUAGAUGGAUCCGCGCUGCAUUAGCUAGUUGGUAAGGUAACGGCUUACCAAGGCAACGAUGCAUAGCCGACCUGAGAGGGUGAUCGGCCACACUGGGACUGAGACGCGGUCCAGACUCCUACGGGAGGCAGCAGUAGGGAAUCGUCCGCGAUGGGCGAAAGCCUGCAGGAGGAACGCCGCGUGAGUGAUGAAGGUCUUCGGAUCGUAAAACGCUGUUAUUAGGGAAGAACAUAUGUGGAAGUAACUGUGCACAUCUUGACGGUACCUAAUCAGAAAGCCACGGCUAACUACGUG